rnacentral:lncRNA from 1 species
UUCGCUUAAAGACGGUGACAGAGAAGUUUCCUCGGUCACAGCUGGUAGACCACCACCACCACGAGACAUCGGGAUUCCGGCAUCAAAAUCCAUUUCUUACUCUGAUCAUUCUCUCUAUACUACCGAAUUCUCAGUUUUCCAUUCUCUUCCGGAAUUCCCAUUCCAACAGGAAAACCAAGAAUUUGUGUUUUUUUGUUCUUUCAAUUUUAGUGAGAGAGAGCGGGGGUGAGUAUUUUUUUUUAUUUUUUUAUUUUUGCUUACAGAGAGAGAAAGAGAGAAAAAGGGCGUAGUGUCCUCCUCUCCACAAAAACUCAAGGGAGAAUAAAAACCAACCAACCAACCAUCCAAGACCAGACACCCCUCCCUUUCUUUCUCGCCUUUCUUUUUCUUUUUUCCUUUUUUUUUUUUUUUUCUUUUCUAACCCGCGUUUUAUAUUUCUUUUAUCACUGAAAACGAACGGCUCUCACAGAUUCUCUGGUCCGUGUAAAAUGUUUUCUACUCUCUUC